rnacentral:misc_RNA from 1 species
UUUCCGUAGGUGAACCUGCGGAAGGAUCAUUACCGAGUGAGGGCCCUCUGGGUCCAACCUCCCACCCGUGUUUAUCGUACCUUGUUGCUUCGGCGGGCCCGCCUCACGGCCGCCGGGGGGCACCCGCCCCCGGGCCCGCGCCCCCCGAAGACACCAUUGAACGCUGUCUGAAGAUUGCAGUCUGAGCAUCUUAGCUAAAUCAGUUAAAACUUUCAACAACGGAUCUCUUGGUUCCG